rnacentral:rRNA from 1 species
AAUGAACGCUGGCGGCAGGCCUAAAACAUGCAAGUCGAACGCCCUAGCAAUAGGGAGUGGCGCACGGGUGAGUAACAUGUGGGAAUAUGCCUUUUGGUACGGAACAACGUUUGGAAACGAACGCUAAUACAGUAUGGUCCCUCCGGGGUAAAGAUUUAUCGCCAAAAGAUUAGCCCGCACUAGAUUAGCUAGUUGGUAAGGUAAUGGCUUACCAAGGCGACGAUCUAUAGCUGUUCUGAGAGGAAGAUCAGCCACACUGGGACUGAGACACGGCCCAGACUCCUACGGGAGGCAGCAGUUAGGAAUAUUGGACAAUGGGCGCAAGCCUGAUCCAGCCAUGCCGCGUGAGUGAUGAAGGCCUUCGGGUUGUAAAGCUCUUUAGCCGACGAAUAUAAUGACUGUAGUCGGAGAAUGAGCCCCGGCUAACUUCGUGCCAGCAGCCGCGGUAAUAC